rnacentral:rRNA from 1 species
GACGAACGCUUGCGGCGUGCUUAACACAUGCAAGUCGAACGGAAAGGCCCUGCUUUUGUGGGGUGCUCGAGUGGCGAACGGGUGAGUAACACGUGAGUAACCUGCCCUUGACUUUGGGAUAACUUCAGGAAACUGGGGCUAAUACCGGAUAGGAGCUCCUGCUGCAUGGUGGGGGUUGGAAAGUUUCGGCGGUUGGGGAUGGACUCGCGGCUUAUCAGCUUGUUGGUGGGGUAGUGGCUUACCAAGGCUUUGACGGGUAGCCGGCCUGAGAGGGUGACCGGCCACAUUGGGACUGAGAUACGGCCCAGACUCCUACGGGAGGCAGCAGUGGGGAAUAUUGCACAAUGGGCGGAAGCCUGAUGCAGCAACGCCGCGUGCGGGAUGACGGCCUUCGGGUUGUAAACCGCUUUCGCCUGUGACGAAGCGUGAGUGACGGUAAUGGGUAAAGAAGCACCGGCUAACUACGUGCCAGCAGCCGCGGUGAUACGUAGGGUGCGAGCGUUGUCCGGAUUUAUUGGGCGUAAAGGGCUCGUAGGUGGUUGAUCGCGUCGGAAGUGUAAUCUUGGGGCUUAACCCUGAGCGUGCUUUCGAUACGGGUUGACUUGAGGAAGGUAGGGGAGAAUGGAAUUCCUGGUGGAGCGGUGGAAUGCGCAGAUAUCAGGAGGACCACCAGUGGCGAAGGCGGUUCUCUGGGCCUUUCCUGACGCUGAGGAGCGAAAGCGUGGGGAGCGAACAGGCUUAGAUACCCUGGUAGUCCACGCUGUAAACGGUGGGUACUAGGUGUGGGGUCCAUUCCACGGGUUCCGUGCCGUAGCUAACGCUUUAAGUACCCCGCCUGGGGAGUACGGCCGCAAGGCUAAAACUCAAAGGAAUUGACGGGGCCCCGCACAAGCGGCGGAGCAUGCGGAUUAAUUCGAUGCAACGCGUAGAACCUUACCUGGGUUUGACAUGGAUCGGGAGUGCUCAGAGAUGGGUGUGCCUCUUUUGGGGUCGGUUCACAGGUGGUGCAUGCCUGUCGUCAGCUCGUGUCGUGAGAUGUUGGGUUAAGUCCCGCAACGAGCGCAACCCUUGUUCACUGUUGCCAGCACGUUAUGGUGGGGACUCAGUGGAGACCGCCGGGGUCAACUCGGAGGAAGGUGGGGAUGACGUCAAGUCAUCAUGCCCCUUAUGUCCAGGGCUUCACGCAUGCUACAAUGGCUGGUACAGAGAGUGGCGAGCCUGUGAGGGUGAGCGAAUCUCGGAAAGCCGGUCUCAGUUCGGAUCGGGGUCUGCAACUCGACCUCAUGAAGUCGGAGUCGCUAGUAAUCGCAGAUCAGCAACGCUGCGGUGAAUACGUUCCCGGGGCU